rnacentral:misc_RNA from 1 species
AAGUCGUAACAAGGUCUCCGUUGGUGAACCAGCGGAGGGAUCAUUACCGAGUUAUUACUCCAAACCCUUUGUGAACCUUACCUUUUUGUUGCUCGGCGUACCGCGGGCCGCGGCUUCGGCCCGUCCCGCAGCGCGCCAGAGGACCCAACUCUUCAAUUUAUAGCGUACCUUCUGAUUUACAAAACAAACAAGUUAAAACUUUCAACAACGGAUCUCUUGGUUCUC